AGCAAUGCCGCGUGAGCGAAGAAGGUCUUCGGAUUGUAAAGCUCUGUUGCCGGGGAAAAAGGAAGGAAAGAGGAAAUGCUUUUCUUUGGAUGGUACCCGGCCAGAAAGUCACGGCUAACUACGUGCC
rnacentral:rRNA from 1 species